rnacentral:misc_RNA from 1 species
GAUGAAGAACGUAGCGAAAUGCGAUAAGUAAUGUGAAUUGCAGAAUUCAGUGAAUCAUCGAAUCUUUGAACGCACAUUGCGCCCGCCAGUAUUCUGGCGGGCAUGCCUGUUCGAGCGUCAUUUCAACCCUCAGGCCCCCAGUGCCUGGUGUUGGGGAUCGGCCCAGCCUUCCUGUAAGGCCGCCGGCCCCGAAAUCUAGUGGCGGUCUCGCUGUAGUCCUCCUUUGCGUAGUAGCACAACCUCGCAGUUGGAACGCGGCGGUGGCCAUGCCGUUAAACACCCCCCUUCUGAAAGUUGACCUCGGAUCAGGUAGGAAUACCCGCUGAGCUUAAGCAUAUCAAUAAGCGGAGGA